UACGGACGGUGCAAGCGUUAUCCAGAUUUACUGGGUUUAAAGGGAGCGUAGGCGGGCAGGUAAGUCAGUGGUGAAAUCUUCGAGCUUAACUCGGAAACUGCCAUUGAUACUAUCUAUCUUGAAUAUUGUGGAGGUAAGCGGAAUAUGUCAUGUAGCGGUGAAAUGCUUAGAGAUGACAUAGAACACCUAUUGCGAAGGCAGCUUACUACGCAUAUAUUGACGCUGAGGCUCGAAAGCGUGGGGAUCAAACAGG
rnacentral:rRNA from 1 species